AGAGAGGGAAAGAAGAAAAGGUAAUUUUAGGUCAAUGUUCUAAACGAUAAUAGCUAUCACUCAACUUGCUUUUAAAGCAAUGAAAGGUACAAUUUAAAGUUUCAUUCAUUUAUUAAAUCUGUAUCCAUGAAAUUAGUAGGUUUCUUUUUCUGCCUGGCUUCUAUUCAUUUAUCCCUGAAAACAAUUAUUCAUGAGCUUCCUUUGGGCCCAAAAUGACCAUCAAAGUAACUGAACAUUUAGAAUUAUUUGCAGUAUCAAAACAGAAGUCAGCAGUGGAAGCCAUAAUCUUCUUCAAAAAUUACAUUUCAGUUAAAUGUAAAAUUAUAUUCAAUAUUGUCUAUGGAGAUUCUCAGUCAUCCAGGUCAUGGUUGUCCCAAAGGUGCUUUUUCCAAGAGGCAACUGGACAAGAAGUACUGAAGAAGCUUCUUGGAUGAAAAGCUAAACAUCUUCAAAGAAAAACCAGAAAGGUGCUUUUUCAAGAGGCAACUGGACUUUCUGGUUUGGCAGAGAUGCCAAAAUGGAUGUUAAGAAAUGGGGAAUGUAAAGGAUUCGGCCACAUACUUUCAGAAUUUCAGAUCUAAGGUUAACAGUACAGAUUUAUAUGAAUACAAAUUAUAAUGAAUUUGUUCAGACUCUUAAAAAUGCCAUAGUAAGUUACAUUUUUGCUUAUCACGGUGAUUAGUAAACUAUGGUUUAUGCUGAGCACUAUGUGUAUCAAGCACUAUGUUUUUGUUUAUGACACCAAGCUGGCAAGAAUAGCCAACACUCCAGAAGAUAGGCUCAAGAUACAGAAGGAUCUUGACAGACUUGAACACUGGGCGCUAUCUAACAAAAUGAAAUUCAACAAUGAAAAAAGUAAGGUUCUACAUUUAGAUAAGAAAACAAAAACAAAAUGCACAACUACCGUAUAUGUGGUACCUUGCUCAAUAGUAGUAACUGUGAGAGGGAUCUUGGAGUCCUAGUGGACAACCAUUUAGAUAUGUGCCAGCAGUGUGCAGCAGCUGCCAAAAAAGCCAACACAGUUCUGGGCUGCAUAAACAGAGGGAUAGAAUCAAGAUCACGUGAAGUCUUAAUACCACUUUAUAAUGCCUUGGUAAGGUCACACUUGGAAUAUUGCAUUCAGUUUUGGUCGCCAUGAUGUAAAAAAGAUGUUGAGACUCUAGAAAUAGUGCUGAGAAGAGCAACAAAGAUGAUUAGGGAACUGGAGGCUAAAACAUAUGAAGAACGGUUGCUGGAACUCGGUAUGUCUAGUUUAAUGAAAAGAAGGACUAGGGGAGACAUGAUAGCAGUGUUCCAAUAUCUCAGGGGUUGCCACAAAGAAGAGGGAGUCAAACUAUUCUCCAAAGCACCUGAGGGUAGAACAAGAAGCAAUGGGUGGAAACUAAUCAAGGAGAGAAGCAAUUUAAACCUAAGGAGAAAUUUCCUGACAGUUAGAACAAUCAAUAAGUGGAACAAUUUGCCUGCAGAAGUUGUAAAUGCUCCAACACUGGAAAUUUUUAAGAAAAUGUUGGAUAACCAUUUGUCUGAAAUGGUGUAGGGUUUCCUGCCUGGGCAGGGGGUUAGACUAGAAGACCUCCAAGGUCCCUUCCAACUCUGUUCUUGUUAUGUUAUGUUAUGUUAUGUUAUGUUAUGUUAUGUUAUGUUAUGUUAUGUUAUGUUAUGUUAUGACUGUAUGACUAUAACUUGUUGCUGGCAAUCCUUAUGAUUUAUAUUGAUAUAUUGAUCAUCAAUCGUGUUGUAAAUGUUGUACCUUGAUGAACGUAUCUUUUCUUUUAUGUACACUGAGAGCAUAUGCACCAAGACAAAUUCCUUGUGUGUCCAAUCACACUUGGCCAAUAAAAUUCUAUUCUAUUCUAUUCUUAUGUUAUGUUAUGUUAUGUUUAACAAGUAACAAUUUAAACAAACCAAAGCUUGGUAUACCGUGUGACACCACACUGUGCAUAAUGUACUGUAUGCUGUUUCAGAUACUUUUAUCUUAGCUGUAAUAAUUUCAGUCAGACUAUCCUUUGUUAUCCUCAGUGAAUGCAAACCUCUCUGUCUCAUUCUUGAUCAGGAAAACUUCAUCUGGUUAUUCUAGUAACUACAACAUGGCUCCCAAUACAUAGAAAACAGAACAAAGCAGAAACAUAAAACAGUUCCUGUUUUAGACAAGAAUGACCUAAAAAACUUAUGUUUGUUCUGGACUCAAGACAUUUUUCUCUGUAUAAAAGGACUGUUUGGAUCUAAAAUACUUUCACGCAGAUAUCCUUGAAAUACAAUCUUCCAACACCGAGCCUCACUUCUUACCAUUAGUAAACAGGUUAUGGCUGGGCAUUAUGCUCUAUGGCACUAUUUUUCAACCCUGAAAUCCACACAUCUUAAGGUUGUCAAGGCUGAGAAACGGUGCUUUAUAGUCACAAUUCCCUGACAAUACAAUCUCCAGUCUUGUCUACUGUGAUAAACAUAUAGACCACAUGGGGAGAAGGUUAUUCUAAAAUUUCAGAGUCUUUAUGCAAUUGGAAGAUAUUAAAUUCUUUAUACCCUGCAAUACAUCUGGACUCAAGGUGUGCUACAGGCAGUAGACCUUUGCUAUUCAUGAAAUAACAUUAGGUGGGGGGGGAAAAGGAUUAGUAAUGAAUUAGUAUGAAAAAGCACAUGAAUACACAACGGUUUUGAUUGUCAGAACAAAAAAACAGUAGAACAAGCACAUGGCUCUUGUGAAUCAUUUUUUUCUAGGGUGUUGGGUGAAAUAAGUCAGAAGGCCCAACUGAAAAAUAUGUGAUACAAAAUACCGUAAAUGAUGUUAUUCUAUGCUGUACACUGGUAUUUAAGAAAAAGGCAGCUUGUUAAACGAGAAGAGCAGAACUGCUGCCAUUUUAAACAGGAAGCUUUAGGAAAUGAAGAUAAACCCAAGUUCAGGCAGCCUAAGCUACUUUAUCAGGUGAUCAGGACAAACUUAAAACUCACAGGUAUGAAGUCAUGUUAAAAAUAAUCUCAAAGAGUGAUGCCAACUGACCAAAAAAAAUUAAGGGGGAAAAAAAACCCUCUCAGGACAGGUAAUAAUCCAUUCAGCUGAAGAAGCUUCUUGGAUGAGAAGCAAAAGUCUUCAACAAAAAAACAGAAAGUCCAGUUGCCUCUUGAAAAAAAGUACCUUUGGGUUAACUAUUUCAUUGUCCAACUAUAAUUCUGCCUACUUAUUCUUAUUCCUUUAUACAAACCUAACUCAUCUGAAAGUUAUCAGGCUCUGAAGAUUGCCUUCUGUCACUGAACAAUUAUAAUUCUUUUAAGAACUCCUUAUGUGACAUCACCAGUAAAGGGAUCUGGAAAAGACAGACACUGACUUAUCACAGUUACAUUAUUGAAUGCUGGUAAAGAAUGCUGGUCCUAGUCAGGUUUACCUACAAGAAAAACAGUAAGUAAAGACUGCUAUCCUUUCAUUGAGCUUGACAUUUUUACCAAAACAGAAAAACAAGAAGUAAGAUUUAGGGUUACUGAUAGUUGCUUGCAAGAUCUACUGACUAGUUGAAGUUUAAUGGGGUGAGGUGAAGGGAAUGAGAAAAUGCCUGCUCAUGAAUUUGCUGAAUUAACAACCCUGCAAAUCACAACUUAGGAGUUUUACCAUUUGAGCUGUGAAAUAACCAAGAUGGAAGAAAAUUUGGUCAAUUGUCCAAAGACAACAGUGUGAUUGUAAAGGUUUAGCACCAAUGUAGCAGGACAGGGCUCUGGUGCUGGGUCUCCAAGUGCCCAAAGAAUCACUACAAUUGGGAAUUCUGUACCUGGGUUACUAGGUAAGGCAUUCUAAAUUGUUCUCCAUUUAUCUGUAUCUAGGAAAAUAGAUAUGGUCUAAAACAAUAACUUCACAAAAUACAAAUCAUAUCAACAAAAUAGAAAUUUCUGCAAAUAGAAAUAGAACAACUGUAGCAAAAGAAAGCAAGGGUAGUAGCAAUAGUCAUAGACGCCUUGGGUGCAAUCCCAAAAUAACUUGAACACCACUUGAACACCAUCGGCAUUGACAAAUUCACUCUCAGUCAAUUGCAAAAGGCAGCUUUAUUUGGAACAGCUUCCAUCCUGCAGUGAUAUCUCUAACACCAUCAAACAUACACAUCUGCCUAACCCAGGUCCUGAGGAAGGAUUUGACAGGUGAACAAAAAUGACAAAUCCAAUCUGGCUGACUAUGUGACAAACCAUAAUGGACAUCUUAAAAUGACUGGCAAAAUUCCCAUAUUGUUAUCUUACUUAUGCUCACUCAAAGAUAAAUCUCACUGCUUUCAGUGAACUUUUCUUUACAGAUAGCUUUGCAUAAGAUCUUAGCUGCAAUCACAGAGUUAUGUGCAAAGUACUCUCAAGAUACUAACCGGGCAGCCCUGUGCAGAUCUUAGGGAAGAGUGUCCAACCUUGGCAACUCUAAGACCAAUGUACUUCAAUUCCCAGAAUUCCCUGGGGAAUUCUGAGAGUUGAAGUCUGUAAGUCUUAAAGUUGCCAAGGUUGGACAGACCUGGUCUAAAGACAUUUUCAUAUUUAUUUUCCUAUCCAAGAGCUAUGAAAGAAAUCUCCAUGGCUCCAACAGACAAGUUUAUUCAUAAAAUGUCUUGCAUGUUAAAUGUUGCUUGCCAAGUGCUUUCAUACAAGAUGGGACCGUAAUGUGACAUACCCUUCUUUCUUGAAGUAUAGUAGCUACACAAUCCACAAUAAAGGAAGUUAAGAGUUCAUUCAAACCUCAAAGACAACCAGGUUGAGAAAUAAUAUAAGCUUUUUUAUGUUUGAGCUUGCACAAUGCAUAAGUGAGGUGCAUCAGACAAAAGCCUGAGAAAACAUUCCUCUUGGAUGUUUCAUAACGAGAAGUUUCAACCACCUAUGCUUGCACGUUUCAACAAAAGCUCCAAAUCUUCUGACAGCUCUCCCAGUAAUACAAAGAAGCUGGCAAGUGCUAGUGAAUCAGACAGACUUAAGGUUGAAAAUACUGCUUGGAUCUGCUGCUCUUGAAUGCACAAGACAAGGCAUCUUGUACUGAUCCUGACAAGCUAAUAAUCAGUUUAGCCUCACUGAUUUCAAGAAAUCAAAUAUACUUACAAGUAAGUCGGAAUACAAUUCAUUCUCCCCUUGUGGAAUGGAUCAGUUGGCAGUCACCAAUACACAACUGUCGUCUCUAGACAAAGACUUGGCUUGCAUAUCAUCGUGUACUAUGGCAGGUGGUAAAGGACACAAGGCUUCUCCCGCCCACUGCAGACUAUAAUUUUCACUUUCAGCUUACUUAACAUAAGGAUGACUACACAGAAGGUAACUGUAUUCAUGGGAACAGAAAACCUACUGCAUGACAUUUUGCUACGUUUCAGAAUGUGCUUUGUUUGAUUUUUUUUUUAAUAUUAUUUUUGUUCUUCUCUGAAGAAUCAGCUAUGCUGAUAAUGUAGUUUGAGUUCUAUUUAUAGAUUAAAAAGUCACAUAACUGCAAGCACUCUGAAUAAGUGCAGCUGAAUUGUUAACUUAUUUUUGGUUCAAUAAUGGAGACAAUGGACAUUAUGGUUUCGUCUUUUGAGAGUGUGUAUCUUAUAUCCCCUUCCAUGAAAGUUGGAAAGUUACCUCACGGUGUUACAUUUGAAAUGAUGAUGCUAAAAGCAAGAUUAACUAUACGUGCAGUCUAAAUAAAAGUCUUUUACUUGAGUUAUUCAAGGAAAAGGGAUAUAUAAAUAUUAUGUCUUAAGACCGGCUUCUUGCAUCUUUUCCAAGUAUCAUUAUUGAAAACUAACUCUGCAGCUUGGAAUGCUUCUUCUUACAAAAAGUGGGUGGAAUUGUGCAUUGAAUAAAAUCUUCUGGCCAGAUCUCAGACAAAACAAAUAUCACAUUCCAGAAUUUGACAAAGUUUAUCCAAGUUCAAAGACCUAGGCAAAAUCUUUAGAGAAAUCCAUUAUUUACACAUUUUUUCUCUUAGAACCUUAUAGUCACAAUCCAUUAGAUAUGUUAUUUAAAAUCUACUGAAGUAAACUGGUUAAUAUUAAGGAAGCAUAUCAAAAAAUGCUUACACAGAAUCACAGGCAGGUUCAGUAAGCCAAAACUGUACCGUUUCUAUCAAUUGCAAAAUAUGCUUGGUUUUCCACAACAUUUUUGAGGACUACAGGACCUAGAAGACACAGUCAAGGUAGAGUUUUGCCCAUUAAGAUCAUCCCAAAACACCAAAAAAAAAACAACCCUAACAAACUGUUGAAACCUUAAAUACUUAGGAGAAUCAAAAGGAAUGUUAGGCAACUAAAUCUAGCCAUUGGUGGGGGGUUUUCAGCCCUGCAUUAAGAGCAGUAUGGUUUUAUCUUGGUCUGUUGAAUUAGUUUCAAUGGCUGGAUAAAUAAAAUCUAUAAACUAUGAUUUAUAAAUGCCAGGUUCUCAAUUCAUAUGUCAUGCUAAGCUAAACCAAAGACCCAACAUAUUUUUAUCAGUUAUAAAUAACCCAUUGUCUCGCUCUAAGAUUUUGUUUAUUGAUUUGCCUUUCUUCCUGA